CCGGUUUUGGGAACACAAGCGUUCAGUUGUGUCGACGCCAACAAGGCACACGUUCCAUGGUUGAAGCGCUGGUUCAACAUUGAUAACAGAGAUGUUGUCCUGUCUUGCACACCUAAUGCUGCUCAACCACUGCUGCCAAGCCGGUUUAUCACAAGGCUGGACGUGAACAUCGUCAUGAGCCCCGACGCCCCCUUGAACUUUUAGGAAAUGGUUGAGUUUGGUCAAGGGACUGGUAUUGGAUCUGAUAUAUUAUCAUUAUUGUCACACCUUUUCGCUAAAUAGGUCUUGAAAACUGCUUGGCAUUACUCCUUGUGAGGUGUUACCCAACGUUAGUGACGGCUGUCUGUAUAAUUGGUACUCACUUGAUACCUAUGGUGAAGGAUGAGCCAGUUAUUUUCGAGUUUGUACUUUGGGUGCAUCUCGUUCCUCGGGUUGCAUUGCGCCCGCGACCCCAUAGGAGUUCCUGGUCUUGUCUCUUCGCCCCCAACCCCGAUAAACUCUAUGUACCGUGAACGAAUGCUCAUCAGGUCGACAGAAAUUUGACGACGUAAAUCCAUCCAUAUUAACUGGCGCUGCGGCUGCGCUCAAUAGGCCCCGUUGGGGAGUCUGAGCCUGAUAGGGUGUACCAGUCCAGCCGGUUAUGUACGGUUGGUAUGCUCUAUGAUAUGGAUCUCCAGCCACCUGUCAGCUAGGGGCAGACCCCAGUGUCUCAACCCUGGGUCUCAGAGGCGGUAACUUCUAGUCAGGCAGCGCGCUAUGUCUGGUUAGGCGACAUGGGUUACCAGGGCAUCCACAGCCAAAAUGGUUUGCACAUGGAGGUCAUCGCGACCGACUUGUGAGGGGGAAGAAGUGAUGUCCAUGGCGGUUUCAAAUUGAUCUGACGACCCCCGCGUCUUUGGACCGGAGGGGUUCAUGUGGCCAAAUCCUGUCAGCUAAAUCCUAUCGUUAGCAUCGUCCGCGGUACAUGGAAACCCAGGGCAUGGAACCCUUUUCGUCUUCAAAUUGGUUUAAUUUCCCUAAGGAUUUCAAUUAUGAUAUAUAUAUUUAGAUCCACAGGUAUAGUCAGUACAUGUGGCGACUCGCCACAUGUACAUUUUUAAAGUUUUUUUCGAGCAUUGUAAAAAGUUAUGAGAAUAAAUUUCCCCUUUGGACGUGUUUUUCUUUACCAGAAUGACAAUCAAAAAAGUUUGUCACUGGAGAAUUUCCCCGUCCCCACCCCAGCCCUAGAAAGAUAUACAGACUAAAUGCUAAUAUCAUUGGACUGUACUGGUAAUAUAGGUCAGUCACGAAAAAUGAAAUAUAUAUUGGACUGUACUGGUAAUAUAGGUCAGUCACGAAAAAUGAAAUAUAUAUUGGACUGUACUGGUAAUAUAGGUCAGUCACGAAGAAUGAAAUAUACAUUGGACUGUACUGGUAAUAUAGGUCAGUCACGAAAAAUGAAAUAUAUUUUGGACUGUACUGGUAAUAUAGGUCAGUCACGAAAAAAUGAAAUAUAUAUUGGACUGUACUGGUAAUAGAGGUCAGUCACGAAAAUAUCUGAAAGUCUGUGCCCCAUUGUUGACGAAUAUAAUAUCGUGAGGACUUUAUCAAUAGUCACGGUCCCUGGCCCCUCCCACAUAAAAUCAUUAGCAAGGUCACUGCAGGCAAUAGCUUCAGUAUUGUUAUUGUAUAAACAUGUCUCAAACAUUAUAAACGGCCCUAUUUUGUGGGGUUACAUUGGGUUCUUGCUGGGAGUAAUGAUUUCCAUGUCCGAUUCUGCGUUUUGUGGACUUGUAAAUCAGUCCAGCAGUGACAUUGCAUUUUGUGGACAUGUAAGUCUGUCCUGCAGUACCAAGUUUCACCCCAGCAAUUACCAAUAAGACCUGCACGUGACCUUAAAGUAAAUUUAUGAUAAGCAAACAAUAAUGCGGACUGCCAGUAUAACUAUGCAAGUGUGGUGGAGACAAAACGCGAUGGAUGCAUUGGGAGAAGGAAAUCUAGAAAAGAGUAACUGGAACUGUCUGUCCAGCUCUCGUUUAUGAAACAAUGGGCGAUUUGAACUCCUGAACAGAUCGCCCAUUGUUUACUGAAGCAGCAUUCGAAUUGUCUCCAAUUUUUUCAGGUGAAAAAUUGCUCUAUGCAGGCCUUGGCUCCCAGUUGCCCACCCCGCGUGAGUUGGAGAUAAAUAUUUAGGAUGCCAGAUUUGUGGAACACAAUUGAGGCCAGAAGUCAAGGGUACCGAUCAGGGAACACCAGUUCCCGACGGAAUUUACCAUUUUCUUGUUGUAAUUUAUGCUGUUGGGUUGACUCUCAUGAAAAUUCAAUCAAACAUUGUUACUCUUUGUUUCAAGUGAACCUUUGCAAAAAAUGCUUAUUCCCCAUUUGGCUGAAAUCAAUAGCACUUUAUGUAUGUACUCGCUGAUCCACAAUAUUUCUUGUUCCGUUUUCAAUGUGGCAAUUACUUUGCCCUUUGAUGGUUAUGACGUGAUAACGACUGAUCUAUUUCACAGCACGAGGUGCAACAGCAAUGGAGUUAUUUGUCUGGGUAGCUGUCUCGGCAACAGCCAAAAAGUGUUUCUACAUUGCAUUUUUGUGCCACAUUUAAUUACUCAAAAUGAUGCAGUGAUGCGCCUAAUUGACAUAUUAUUUGUUUUCAAGAGGAAUUUGUUGUAGAUCAAUAUCAUUGCUCUAAAGGCUUAGUUUUCUCAAAAUAUCUGCAUUAGUUUUUCUUUCUUUUUUCUUAAGGCAGGCCCAAUUUUACAGAAGGCCCAGAGAAUGUUUUAGGUAGGAUAUUAUUGAUAUUUUAGGCCCAUAUCAGUUUUGAGAACAAUUUCCUCUUGAACACAAUAAACGUCAAUAUCAAGUCUCUGCACCAUUUUGAUUGAGCAGUUUGGGGAUAAAAUAUAAGAGAAUGCUCCAUUGGUGUUAACAGACUAUGACAUUGUUUUGGUCAGCAAUCGGUUCUUGCCACCUUGAAAGCGACCUGUACAUUGUUCAAUUGUUAUUAUAUCAUUGCCUUUGUCCCCCCACCCUCCCUAUCCUUAUCAGCACUGCAACUCCCUCCACCCCAUACCCCGCAUCUGAUCCCGUGGCUCGAUUGCCCAAGCGGCGUUAUUGUAAACGUUGCGUUAUUGUAAACGUUGCGUUAUUGUAAACGUUGCGUUAUUGUAAACGUUGCGUUGUUGUACACGUUGCGUUAUCAGGCAGGUUUCCCAACCCUUACGAAGAGCUACGAAAGACGAAGUACGAAGUAUGUGAUAUACUUUAGAGACGACUUUUUGAAAAUUUUCCCGAUUCCUUGUACAAUUUAGUGCAGAAGAUGAUUCGUGCUAUGCGUAAAUGAACUUGAUUGGUCGACAGACCUUCGCAGUUCGUCAGGCUUGCGAAACCUGCCU